rnacentral:rRNA from 1 species
GCAAGUCGUGCGAUCCUUCGGGAUAGCGGCAAAAGGGUGAGUAACGCGUGGAAAAUCUACCCUUAAGUAAGGGAUAACACCGAGAAAUUGAUGCUAAUACCUUAUAUGACCACGAUUACAUAAGUAUUCGAGGUGAAAGGUGGGGACCUUCGGGCCUACCACUUAGGGAGGAUUCCGCGUCCUAUUAGCUAGUUGGUGAGGUAACUGCUCACCAAGGCGAAGAUGGGUAGCUGGUCUGAGAGGAUGGUC